rnacentral:lncRNA from 1 species
UUUUUUUUUGGUUUUUUUCUUUGGAAAGAAUAAACUAAAAGAAGCUAACAGGUGUAACAAAGAAAGCCUAAUUUCAUCUUUCAAGAAUCAAUGUCAUCCAUUAUUUCGCCUCGAAGAACAUUUAGAGCAAGUUCUAGAAAAAUUAUUGAGUCUACCUUCUUGUGAUAAUAAUUUUUCUCAAUUCCUUUGAUCUUGUGAGUUGGAGACGCUAGUUUUGCCUUCACAAAAUUAAAGUCAUAGGCAUGGAACUGAUAUGAUAAUGAAGAAAAGACUUAAUAUUUGAGCACAAUAGAAAGAAUUUAUUUUACUAAUUAAAAACCUACAGUGACACAAACAUUAAGAAGAAAAUAUUUAUUAUAUCAUUAUAGAAAAAGAAAAAAAUAUAUAUAUAUACAUAUAUAAUUUUAUUUUAUUUUAUUUUUUGGAAAGGAAAAAGAAAAGAUUAACACAACCACCUAAGCCUUUAGUAGCAUGACCAUCAGUUUAAAAAGAAGAUAUAGAGAGAGUUAAAACCCGCCACAAUGCCACUUUGGGUGGCCUUGAAUUUCGGAAGCCAUAAGGUCAGGAAAGUCUCAUAGAGAUUGAGUUCCUUGUCCCUUCUUCACCUGCUACUUUUGUUCAUUGUAAUAACAACACUUGGCCAAAAUGAGAGUCAAGAAUAUAAGGAUGUCUUAAGUUAGUUUAAUGCACAACAACAUGAACUCAAACUCAUCAUAGAAACUUCAAAACCUUGGAACCAGAAUGAAUCAACUAAGACAAUAUUAUACUUCUAUAGAACAAAAUCAAACCUAAAAUAUAGGGAUGGAAAUAUGGCGGGGGAUUACAUAAGAAGCACAAGAGACAACAAUGAAAUAAACUACUAAUAUACCAUAAUAUAUAAUACUUCUUCGUAACUUUUCUUUCUCUGGAUAAGAGCUUAUCCAGAGAAAAACUAAUCCCUAAUUGUGCUGGGUUUUUUUUUUCAUUUUCCUUCACAGAAAAAAAUAAAUAAAUAUUAUAUGUUAGGUAAAGAUUAAUAGUAAAAACACAAAGACAAGAAUACUAUUAAGAAAAACGAGACAAAUUAUACUACUUCAUGCUUGAUUAAUAUUCACAUAAUUUUUACACCAGUUAGUUAAGCUUAAUCACUCCUACCAUCUUAUCCUUUCUAGCACCAAAAUAGCCCAGCAAAAGCAAUCCAAAAACAGUAGUUCCACUAGAAAACAUCCCUACUAGUUAAAGUUAUGAGGUGAUAAAAUACUACUACACCUUAUCAUUCCCCUAAAGCAGAAACAUAAAUAGAUAUCCUAGCAAAGCAAAUUCCAACCCUUCUACCAUGCUUGAACGUUUCAUCCUCCUGGAUAAAAACGAGUCUCUGGACGAGACUAAAUAUCUGAACGAUCACCAUCACAUCCACGAUUUUCACCGCGAUUAGUGACGAUCACAUCCACCCAAUCAAAGUCAGAGGGCAUAAUCUCUUCCCCUAUAAUCUGUUGUCCAAUUCCAGAACCCUCCAUAGGCCUUAUAGUGCCUCUUGCCUGACAGAAAGGGGUGCACCCGUCAAAGUUGUCGCCGAAGUCCUGAAGGCCGGCAAAUAUAUUACUACUGGUUUCAGAAAAAGCAGGAGCUACUAGAGCAGGUGGGGGUGGUGCAUAUUCAGGUUGUGGAAGUGGUUGUUCCAUGUUGACAUAGUUGUCUGGAAUAACAAGAUUGGGAAACUUGGGAAUAGGACAACAUGAUGGAUCCACAAACUGAAAUUGGUGAAAUUGACCUGGUUCAGUGUAUCCCAACUUCGACUCGCUCAUUCAUUUUACAAAGUUAGCGAGUGCCCAAAUCGUGGUAGUAUUAUAAGGCAUUUCCUGCAUUUUGAUAUGUUCAAUCCUCUCCAACUUAUGCAUCAACAUUUGGAUUUCAGCUCAGAGAAUGUCAAACCUUGUAUUGAAGAAUUCCAUAAUGCACCUUGGAAGCACUGGUGCUUGUUUUCUUCUAUUCCCAUACAUCGGCUCUUCUUCUCCCUCUGUUUUCUUUGGACCAUAUGUAUCCUCCAUUCUUGCCCAAACAGCUUUGUUGAUUUAAUUCUCCGAAAUUGUCGGGUUCAUGGUCAGAGCAGGUAUGACUCCAGCAUCCAAGAUCAACUUAGUUAUUGUGGAUGGAAACCACCACUUCUUCUUUUUUGAGUUAAAACGACACUCCCUGAUAUUCUCAUUAAUCACAUUACCCACAUUAAGAUCCAUCUUAGAGCAAAUGACAUAAAUAAUGGAAAAUCUGUUCAUAAAGAUGUUAGUGCUAUUGGUAUUUGGGACCAAUCGACUACUAACAAAAUUUAGAAUUGCUCUUGACUUAUAGCAGAUAUUAAUACCAAGAAUGCUGCUCUUUUUCCAUUUUUUGUCAAAGCCCCAGGUUGCUCCAAAUGGACAAAGUUUUUCUUCCAUUAAAUCUAAAUUUGGAGAUUUGAGAAAUGCUCGGGUUACCUUAUCAUUGACAUCAGGGAGGUCGUACACCUUGUUGAUCUUUUCGGGUGAGUAGUCCACGGUCACCCCUCUUACAAUGGAUACAUUGGUGCUUUUGUCUAAGUUGUUGUAAAAUUUUGUCACCAAAUCCACAUAAAAGUUCCCUGGUUGCUUUGCAAAAUCCUUCCACUGGUGAUGUUCGAUGAUUUCGUGAAUGAAGGCAUCCUCAAUGCCAUCUUUGGUGUCGAAAUUCAUCCCCUUCUCAUCGAUUGGGGUUUUUCUAUUUCGAAACCAUUUGUCACGAGGAGCAGAUGGUGAAGUUGCCAUGGUGGGGAAGAAUAGAAGAUUUAAAGAGAGGAAGAGAUUUGUAGUCAGAGAUGGUUUAAUUUCUGCGAAACCCACAUUUUCGGAUGUUCAAAACAGAUGGUCCCCUCUUAAUGUUUUAUAGUGACCAAUUUCUUCUCCAAAAUUUGUUGUGGUUGCAACUAUAGAGAGUUGUACUUGAAGCAGUACUUUGCAGCUUUAGGGUUUAUAUCUAUUGUUGUGACUAUAAGAGUGAUUGAUGGUCCUUCCUUGAGUGGUUUUUCUUUUAUACUCAUUAAACUUAAUUCUACACAUAAAGGAAAACAGUACCAUAUAUACACCNNNNNNNNNNNNNNNNNNNNNNNNNGUAUCAGAGCCUAGGAACUUUCAUGGUUUAUAUGAGAUAGAUCUGAAGUAUUCGACAUAGAUAUGUUAUUUUUUGUUAUGAAUUUAGGAGAAACUAGUAUCAAAAAUACUAGACUUGAAGAGGUAGAUAUACCUCAAAACCUUGAUUUAUUAAACAAAUGGACAAUUCCUAAAGUCCCUAUUAAAACAAUUUAUAAUAAACUUUCUUCAAAACAACUAGUUAAAACUACUGAGCAAUCUUUAGCUUUAAACUCGUCUGAACAGACUAUUCGUUUGUUAAACAAACAAGAUGUAGAUUUAUAUAAAAAUCAGUAUAAUUAUCUGCAUGUUGGUAUGGUUCAAAUUGAUUUUAAGCCAUUAACACUUAAAGGGUUACCAGAGACAUUUUUGACUGCUCUUAGAGAUGCUAGAAAUCUGAAUUUUAGAUAGUCUCUGAUGGGUUCUAUUGAAUCUACUGUGGCCUACGGUCCAGUAUAUUUUAAUACUCAACCCAAUCUUCAAUUAUCUCUAUCUGAUGUUAAUAUACUUGAUGCAUUGACAUUAAAUGUGAAAACACAUGGUUAUAAUUAUGUGCCUGGAUCUGAACUUAUAUGUUUAUCUUAUAGAAUUUAUUUUAAAUUAUUAUCUACGUUAAACCUUAGAUGUAAACUGUAUGAUACUUCCGAUCAGACUAUAAUGGUGGAAACCAAUUUUGCAAAGUCUAAGGUCACCGUUUAUCCCAUUAGAGCCAUGGACGGAGUCAAGAGAGAUGGUGAUCGUGAACCAAGAUCAAGCAGGGAUCGGUAUCAGCCAUACAAUGGAGACCAGAGAAGUAGUGGGUCUGGGCGAAACCCUGUGAGAAGCGAAAGGGGGAGUGAUCGAGGUCAAAACAACCGGGGUAAUCGAAUACUGGAGUCAAGGACCACAUCAACAAUAUCCGAGGCUUCUCUAUGUUCGGCCUCCGAUACUAGAGGCCAUCACCCUCGGACAAUGGUUUUGGUAAGGAGAGAAACUUUAUGCUCGAACUACCUAGGCUCAGUGGAUAGGAUUUAUUUUAAGGGCCAAACGGUCGAAUGAACCGUGCCCACAUAGACCACCCAAGCUCUGACACGAAUCAUGUACAUAUUUGUAACCUUGUAUAUUACAUACAGAAAUGAAAGAAACGUUUCUCCUUGCGGAUAAAUAUUUUGUCCCUUAAAAGUUUCUACAUUCGGUCCCCUAAAGAUAUCGAUGCCCAAGGGACACCUCUGUCCGGAUCCAAGAGGUCACCCUCACUUGGGGACUAUCGUCCAAGGCAGGCUCUGGUGACCGGGGGUAUCAAAGCCCGGAGGCACAAAGCUUAUUAGAUAGUGCCUAAACUUUAAAAGCUACGACCAUCCCCAUUCGAAACUAUCGUCCUGGGCAAGCCCGGAUAACUCAGGGUAACGAGCCCAUUGGGUAAUACCCAAACUUAAAAGACUACAACCGUCCUAGAACGACUUGAAGACGUCCGAGAUCCGUAAUAAAAAUAUAAGGCCUUCAAAAUUUCUAAACCGGUUCGAAAGCUACCCUCGGCAAAAUUAUAAAAAAUUCUAAGUGAACAUUUCGGAGAAAGCUUCCGGUCAUACCAAGCGCCCCCACAAGCCUUAAGAAAAAUAGUCUCGAAAACGAACAAUAUUCGAACCUCCGAAUAAGACUUAGUUAUUACAUGCUAAGGCAUCCGAAAUUUUUGCAAUCAUAAAGAAAAAAUCAAAAAGAAUCAAGCUUGAAAAUUGCCAAAGGGAAAAAGCUUAUAUAUAUAUANNNNNNNNNNNNNNNNNNNNNNNNNNNNNNNNNNNNNNNNNNNNNNNNNNNNNNAUAUAUAUACGCAAAUUUUUACAAAGGCCAAACGGCCUCAACAAAAUACAAAGGUACAAAAGCAAAAAAUUACAAGGCACCUAAGAAGCCUAAUCCUCGCCUAAUCCUCGCACUCCAAAGCCUAAUCCUCGGAUAUUUUUUACUUUUCAUAGAGUUGUACCUAGAAUAGGAUUCCCCUACUAUAUAAAGGGGGUCUGAUAAUUCAUUAAACAAAUAAUAACACGCACUCCAAAGUAAUAUAUUAUUAUUUUCUCUAUUAUUAGCUCUUUCUCUUGUUCAUCAGUGCUGGCCAUAGCGAGCCCAGAUCGAGGAUAAAUAUUUCGCUAAGGCUGGAACUAUCCCCUUCGUGUGGUUUGAAUCUGUUUUAUCUUUGUUUGUUCAAUUUGACUUAAUCUAUCGCUUUGUAUCAAAUUAAUCCGCAUAUUCUUAAAAUCACUUACAAAUUUAAUUGUUAUCCGAUUUUGAGUGUAAAUAGCUCUGUUACCUUGUAACUAGCUGGUUGACUAUUAUGCCUUUUUUUUUUCGUGACAAGGUAUGGUUUUUAGUAGUAAAACUUUUUACCAUGUUGUUGACUUACGGUGGAAAAAAAGGGUUAGGGAUUACAAUCAAUAGUUUGUUAGCUAUUAUUGAUUAUCUAGUUUCAUAUGCAAGUUAAUAAGUGAUUUGAGUAACUACAAAUAAAUCUAUAUGAUAGUAAUUAAUAUAAUUGAUAACUUUGUGAAAAUGAUAACUAAUAUGCGAUCACAGAGUAUAUUUCAAAAUUUCAUGAAGUUUGUGUGUCGCAAUUAAUUAUUCAAAUUAAUCAUUAAAAAAAUUACGGAUCGAAUUUCGGGAUUCGGGUGUUGAUUCGAAGCGGAUUAAGCCCAAAAUUUAAACGAGGACGAGGCAAUUCCCUUCUCUUUUUGUGGGCUCCGCAUCCUCAACGGGCGUCAGUGAAAAAGGCCAGUCAAUUAAAGGGAAUCCCAAACGAAACAAUUCCUCCGCGCUUUUCCAAACGUUAAAAGUUCAAAGGAUGGAGGGCAAUGUAGUACUUUAACGCUCAGCCCUCAUCAGAUUUAGACCAUUAAAACGUCGCCGUAUUGCUGGUCGAACGAACUUCAACUUCCAGUCUUCUGUCUUUCCCCAGAUAGAGAGAUUGCUGAUUAAUGUGUCUCUCAUUUUUCAAAUUUGUUCUUCUUCGCCCAAAUUUUGAAAACCCUAACAUUUUCAGAUUUUUCGAGAAAAGUGUCUAACAAAUUUUGCUUAUUGAGCUAUCGAGGAAAUAAUAAUGGUGGGAGGAGCAUUGGCAGGGUUACAAGAUCAUGUGAAAUUGGCAAGAGAAUAUGCAGUUGAAGGCCUUUAUGACACUUCCGUCAUCUUCUUCGAUGGCGCUAUUGCUCAGAUCAACAAGUACUCUCUCAGAUCCCUUCUUCUUUUAUGUCUUUAUUUGUCUACGUAUUUAUGGAGUUACGUCCCGAAUUGCGAAAUGCGUGUUCCAAUUUAUGGUGCGUUUGGUAUGACUAUUAAAUGUUUGCCGCAAUGAAAUCAUUUCCUGUGUUUGGUUUCCUUUGGGUUUUGGGAAGGUAUAAGAUGUAUUCCAGCAAAAGGGGAAAAUAACUUACUGUCACUUGUGAGCUGAAAUUUUUUCUUUUUGAUGAGUAAAAAAGUAAUUUUUAUUUGUGUACUGAUAUGAUGAGGCUUGCAUUAUCAUUUCUUUAAAAAGAUUUUGAAGCUUGACGUAGUACCCAUAAUGAGAUGAAGGCUUUAAUCUGUUCUCUGUCAUUUCUGCUAAACUUAGUUAUAACAUUGUCUAUACCGCUUUGAAAGUAGUUAAUCCAGCUGCUUUUAACUGGGAUUGUUCCAUUCUUUUGGUCUAUGCAUAGGCACUUAAACACACUUGAUGACCCUUUGAUUCGUUCAAAAUGGAUGAAUGUAAAGAAAGCAAUUUCCGAAGAAACAGAGGUAGUGAAACAAUUGGAUGCCGAGAAAAGGGCUUUUAAGGAGGUUCCUAUGGGUGGUAGACGUCCUAAUUCACCUCCGAUUUCGACCAAGUCAUCUUCUUUUGUCUUUCAACCGCUUGAUGAGUACCCCACCUCAUCCGGUGCUCCAAUGGAUGACCCCGAUGUUUGGAGACCACCAAGCCGAGACACAACAAGAAGAUCUGCAAGAGCCGGUCCAGGGGGUAUGAGGAAGGGCCCACAAGAUGGAGCCUGGGCUCGUGGAUCUACAAAGACUGGAACCACAGGCCGUGGGGGAAGGACCACUGGCUCUACUAAGGCUACAUCUGGGGUUCGAUCUUCAACUACUGGGAAAAAAGGACCUGGAAAAUCCACAAAAGCUGACUCUACGGUAAAUUAUAGUGGACAAUCUUAUGUUUUGAUUUUUGUUUUUUUCUGUAAUUUGCCUCUCUUGAAAAUUAUUCAUUGGUAAUUCGUGUGCUUUUCUGUUUACUAGUUCUGGGUACGCGCGUUGCGCGUAUACUUUAAUAUCAAUUAGUAUUAACUUUUUAAAAAUCAUAUAAAUAUAUAAACUUGACGUAAAAAUUCUAUAAAUACACAAGAAAAAAUAUAAAUGAGUUGUCCUUUUGACGACAACAACAACAACAACAAUAAGUAAAAAGAUGGAGAAAUUAGAGAGCAAAAUGAACAAUAGUGGGAUAAAUGUGAAGUGCUCUAAGGUUCUUCGACAACAAAUAUAGCUCUAUCUUUUCAAUGGGUAAAAUAAGUAGGAAUUUAGAAUUAAGUCCAAAAGUGAGAAUUGAGAGCAAUGGCUUAAUAUUAUUCCACUGAACUAAAUCAUUAUAUAACUAAUUUCAUCCCUAUGACUAUUAGAACUACUUUAGUAGACUGGUAACUAUUUGAAUCAUGUUCGACAUAGAAUAUAUAUGUCAUAUAAGCUGCACUGUUGCACAUUAUUAUAAGAAAAAAAAUAUUUGUUAGACUUCACUAAAAUAAAAUUCCAUAAUCCAGAUUUGGAUUUAAAAGUCCAAAUAUAUACAACUGCUCCUAUUAACAUUCAAAAUAAGUUCCAUGUACGUUAUGCAUUAAAUUCUAUUUUAAAAAAAAAGGCUAAGAAGUGACAAAUACGCAAUCCUCCAUUUACACAAACACAUAUUUUUAUAUUCAACCAUUACACUGAUCCACUCUCUUCCCAGAUCCCACCCCCUUCUGUUUCUUGCUAACUAUUUCUUAAGCUUCAUUUACCACAACUACAAUGGAGUUUAAAGAAGAGUGGAGAUGUAGGAUAUUUCUUGACAUUUUUAAUUUCUAAUUAACUAAUAUAAUUUACCUAUAAGUUGCACCUGAUUUUCUCCUCUUUUCACCUUUUUAUUGUGUCUGCAUAAUUAAUCUUUAGUUUUCAAGCAGUCCCGCAAGAAUCUACGAUGAUUCAAAUUUUUCACCCUCGCAAGAUAAGUGGUUUUUGACAAGAGUGGUUUGUUUUAGUGGUGAGCAUCCUCCACUUCCAACCAAGAGGUUAUGAGUUCGAGUCACCCCAAGAGCAAGGUGAGGAGUUCUUGGAGGGAGGGAGCCGAGGGUCUUAUCGGAAACAACCUCUCUAUCCCAGGGUAGGGGUAAGGUCUGCACAGUGUUUUGGAGAGCGAGAAGCGGAAAAAAGCGAGGAGGCUUCGCUUCACCGAAGCGAGAAGCGUGAAGCGAAGCGCGCGCUUUUUUCAUGUGAAGCGCAAUAUAACACAUAAAUAAAAAAAAUUAAAUAGGCAUAGAUAAAUGACGAAGAACUCAAUAAAAAUAACAUAUUAAGCAAAUAUUUCAAUUCUUAAAUUAAGAAGUAAAUAACAGAUACUAAAACUAGAUAGUCAAUAAUCCUCAAAAGUCAUAACAUAUUAAGCAAAUGCAAAACUAAAUCACAAAAGGAAUUGUUAAAACAUGGCAUAACAGUGAACAGCAGAAGAGAAGAAAGAACUGAAGGAGAAGAAGAGAAGAAGAGCAGAAGAGAAAAAGUCGAAGGUUGCAAUCGUCGCUUGCAGCAGUGAAGCAGAUGUUUGGAAGAAGUGUGCGCAAGUGUAUUUGCAAAUUUUUUUUAAGAAAACCCUAGGCAGCCGCUGGACCUCGCUUAAGCGAGCUUUUCUUCACUUUUUUCAUCACCUCGCUUCUCGCUUUUUAGGGUGAAGCGUGCGCUUGUUUACCAAUGCCACGCUUUAGGGCAGAAAAGCGCAGACCCCUCGCCUCGCCUCGCUUCUGCGCUUUAAGCGAGAAGCGUGCGCUUUUAAUAACACUGGGUCUGCGUACACACUACCCUCCCCAUACCCCACUAGUGGGAUUAUACUGGGUUGUUGUUGUUGUUGUUGCAAGAUAAGUGGUUUAUUUUACCGUAUCUUGAUAAAGUAAAUGGUUAUAUAGUGAUUCUAGGAAAAAAAGAAAUGAAACGAUAUAUAUGAACGGACAAUCAAUUAUGUAUAGUUUGCAUUAAGUAGAUGAAUUUGAUAUUGUAUUAAAUUAUUUGAAUGAAUUUAGUCUAUAAUUGAUGAAUUACUCAUGCAACUUUUCAAAUUCUCCAUAUCCUUUUAUAGCAUUUAAGGGUAAUGUUGUUUGGUGUAUAUAGGAAUAAUUUAUUUGUCUUUCAAUCUUUUACUUUGAGGCUUCCCACUUAUACUAUAUAUAUUUGUUAGAAUCCGUGCGGAAGCAUAAGAUGAAGUACUCCAAGAUGAAGUACUCCAGAGAGGCUUAAAGUAUAUUUCUCAUUCCACAAUCUAACUAAGUGGGCGUUUGGACAUAAGAAUUGUAAAAUUUCAAAACAAAAGUGAAAUUUUUUUCAAGCGAAGAUGAUAUUUGAAAAUUAGAGUUGUGUUUGGACAUGAGUAUAAUUUUGGGUUGUUUUUGAAGUUUUGUGAGUGAUUUGAGUGAAAAUUUUGAAAAACAGCUUUUUGGAGUUUUUCAAAUUUUCGAAAAAUUCUAAAAUUCAUCUUCAAGUGAAAAUUGGAAAUUUUAUGGCCAAACACUGAUUUCGAAAAAAAGUGAAAAAAUUCUUAUGUCCAAACGGGCUCUAAGUUUGCUUUUUAAAUGACAUUGCACUGAAUGCAUCUACAAUUUUCUAAAAAGUUAUCUUCAAUCCAACAUGAAAAGCAUACAAAAUACAAUGAAUUAAUUAAAAUUUGCAGUGUCUCUUAAAUGUGUACAAUAACAGUUGAACGCAUGACAACCCAUUAUUGGAAUUAUUUUUUCUUUCAUGAAUAUUGUGAAUUAUUUACCACCACAACAUUAAGUACAAAACAUCAUUUAAUGGAAGGUAAUUUUACUUUUAGAUAGAGGGUAAUUUGGUCAUUCAGUUUUCAAAGGACAUUUCAGUAAACUAACUUUACCUAAAAGUGUUCAUGCUUAUAAUAUUGUAUGAUUUAGAAAUUUGUGAUUAGUUAGUCAGCUGACUGUUUAUGUUGUAUGUGGCAAGCUGCAAAUGUCAUUUUUAUCAUACGUGUAGCUUGUUCUGGUCAGUUAAUCAGCUGAGUGUCUAUGGUGUGUGCCAAUCUCCAAGUUUUAUUUUUAUCCUAAUAUGUGUCUUGUUGUGGUUACCUUAUAUGUAAGUGUUCCUAUUGAAUACAAGGACAAUCGGCUUCAUAAUGCUUUCUAAUUCCAUAACUGUUACUUGUUGAAUAUGGGUGUCCUUGUUAGACCAUCAACUAUGAGUUGAAUCUGAGUCUAUAUGUUAAGAACUUCUAUUGCAAAUUGCUAGGAUGGUGAUGCUGAAGAAGGGAAGAGUAAAAAAGGUCAGUACGAGGGGCCUGAUGCGGACCUGGCUGCUAUGCUUGAGAGGGAUGUCUUGGAUUCCACCCCUGGUGUGAGAUGGGACGAUGUUGCUGGGUUAAGUGAAGCCAAAAGACUUUUGGAGGAAGCAGUUGUUCUCCCAUUAUGGAUGCCAGAUUAUUUCCAGGUAUCAUAGUUGGAUUAGAAGGGAACAUUUGUGGAGUUUUGUGUUUUGUCUUUAUUCUGCAAAGUAGCUUUUGUACAAGUGAAGAUUCACGUGCACAUGAGUAAACUGUACUUCUUAUGAUGAGAAUAUGAAGACCUUAUAUGAUUUGGGCAACAGUACCUAGUGGCUACUUUAGCAAAAACUUUGUGCUAAAUGUACUAGGAGCUUUUAUGGUAGUGUUAUGUUCACACACCUAUCAAAGAGGAAAUAAUGCAUCUUCGACCUAUAUGCAUCGUGUCACACUUUUUACUGAUCAGAUAUGUAUCUUUGCAGGGAAUCAGGAGACCAUGGAAGGGUGUUCUUAUGUUUGGGCCUCCUGGAACGGGGAAGACACUUUUGGCUAAGGCUGUUGCUACAGAGUGUGGGACGACAUUUUUCAAUGUUUCUUCUGCCACUUUGGCUUCAAAAUGGCGCGGGGAGAGUGAACGCAUGGUGCGGUGCUUGUUUGAUCUUGCUCGCGCUUAUGCUCCUAGUACAAUUUUCAUUGAUGAGAUUGAUUCUCUUUGUAAUGCCCGAGGGUGAGGACUUUGUCUAUUAUUCGAUGCUACCUAAAUCUUUUCAGCUGACCUCUGUUUGGUUAAAUGCUUCUUUUGAAGAUUAUGUAUGAUGUUGGUUUAUACUAGUGUCGGAUAUAAAAGCUUUCACUUGUAUCUUUUCGAAUGGAUAAAAAUUAACCUUUUGAAAUGAGUACUGUUGCCUCCAAAUACUUGGUCCAGUGUGCCUUAAUCUGUGACCUAAUUAUGGUAUGUUGAGUAGUUUCUUACACUCUUUUUGAGGUUGAACCUGAGAUAAUGGUUGGAUCGCUUUUCAGGGGUUCAGGAGAGCAUGAAUCAUCCCGAAGGGUGAAGUCUGAACUUCUUGUUCAGGUAGAUGGUGUAAGCAACUCUUCCACUAAUGAAGAUGGCACUCGGAAGAUUGUGAUGGUUUUAGCAGCUACAAACUUUCCAUGGGACAUAGAUGAGGCAUUAAGGUUGUGUCUCAUCGUAUUCGUUCUUUUCCUUUAAUUCAUUGAGAUGCAUGUGAAUGUCUCCUCGACCUAAUUCUGUUGAUGGAAAUUCAGGAGACGUUUGGAAAAACGUAUAUAUAUUCCCCUACCUAGCUUUGAGAGUCGGAAGGAGCUUAUACGGAUCAAUUUGAAAAGUAUUGAGGUAAGCAGUGUUUUGAAAAUGUUUUCUCAGUCCACUUUCUCGUCUUUCGUAUGUCCCUGUUAGCUCCUCAUGUAUCUGUCUAUAGCUUCUUUGAAUGUAAUUGCCCUUGCAGUAUAUAUUGUGUUUAUCAAAGCUAUGAUUAUUAGUUCACUAUGAGAAAAUUCUACUGUAUGAUUGGUGCAUAUUUAUCAAUCUUGGUAGCUGUGGCUUGUGGACUUUUUCACCUGGCUACUGUGGCAUCCUAGAAUAAUAACGAGAUUUCAAAGAGAUAAAAGGGAAAAACAAAUAACAAGAAGGCCAAGUAGAUAUUGAGCAAUAUAACAUACAGUUAUUCUGUUGCUUUUGUAUCAGAUGAAUUAAAACCUUUAGAAACAAUAUGUGAUUAUGUUCUACGAAAGACUGUCUUAAGCCUAAUCUGGAAAAUGCUCUUCUAACUGUUAUAGCUAUCUUGCCCUGGAGUAAAUAAUGGGAAUGUGUACUGAUACCUGUGAAAAGAUGUUGAUCCACUAAUGGAUGCAAAGCAGUUUUCUUUUUAAUUGAUCCUUUUAGGUGUUUGUCAGAUAGGUAACGCUGUAUGAACUCUUUGGUGAAGGUUGAGAUACGAGGCUUUGGAAAAGUCACUCCGAACACUUGCUCUUGCAUAAUUAAGUAUAUAAAUGUUCACUUUACAUGAUUUAAAAAAAGGAAAAAUUAAAUACAUGGAUGUUGAACUUAGAUGUCUUGUCAUUGGAAUUUGGUGAAUCAAAGAUGUGAUGUGUUUGCGUUAGUGCAGGAUUUGGUAAUUGUACUCAAAACAUUAUGUCUUGGAUGUCUUGUUUUAUUAACAGCUAUGCUGUGUUAUGUUGAUCUAUAUCUGAAGUUUCUUCUGAUUUGUUUUUAUGGGUAAAAUUUUAUUACCUUGCAUUUACUUGCACAAAAUGUUAAAUUAUAGUUUAUUCAACCCAUAGUUGCAUCCUUUUCAAUUGUUAAUGUUUAAGGCGCUGCUACUCAAAAAAUGCACGUAGAAAGUUUAAGACAGCUUAUGACAGGCGAACUUUGUUUCAGAUGUUUGGACUUUGAAGAAUACUCUACAUCCUUGACAUUUCAUUGAGUUUUCUGCUUUUGCAGGAAUAGUAAAUGGGGACAGACUUCAAUUAGGAAUUUUUAGUUAAAAGUUGGUCUCAAUUUGAAUAUUCUUGAUAUUCUUUUUCUUUUUGUUUUGAAUUCCGUACAAGCAUGCUUUUUCUCCAAUUUCUCAAGGCAUCAACAUUACAAAAAGUACGUCUCUUUAUUUGUACACCUGGCUUUCCAUCUAAUUGAAUUCUAGCUUGUAAAAAUAUUUUUCUAAGGAUUAUGCUUCUGCCUUCUGAGGGAUGAGUUUGAAGGAAUUCUACCUAGUUUUUUCGUUGGAUGAAUCUUUCGUUUAACAGUGCAAAUAUCUGGCAAUGACAUCAGGUAGCUCCAGAUGUGGACAUAGAGGAAGUGGCUCGUAAAACAGAGGGAUAUAGUGGAGAUGACCUCACAAAUGUCUGCCGAGAUGCUUCUAUGAAUGGCAUGAGACGAAUGAUAGCUGGGAAGACCCGCGAGGAGAUUAAGAACAUGUCUAAGGAUGAGAUUGCUAAGGAUCCUGUUGCAAUGUGCGACUUUUUAGAAGCCAUUAGCAAAGUUCAACCAAGUGUCUCAGCUGCUGACAUUGAAAAACAUGAGAAAUGGUUUUCGGAAUUUGGAUCAGCUUAAAGGAUAAACUGAUGCAAGCAAUUCACUCAUUUUCUUUACAUUUUUUUGUCCAUGUUUGGUGGUUGGUUCUUCUGGUACUCCUUCUCACUUGUGUACUAUUCAUAUUCUGAUCAGCACUGGAAUGAUCAACUUAUGUAACAUGACAAAUCACUAGGGGUUCAUACCUCGGUGUUCAUAGGUCAGUCAAUUGACUGGUUAUUUUCUUGCAUUUGAUUUAAUUUUUUCGCUGUCGUGGAAGUGUCCAUUGCAAUUAUGAGAUGGAAGGUGGUUUAAUUUUUUAGCUGUCAUGGAAGUGUCCAUUGCAAUUAUGUGGUGGAAGGUACUUAACUCUGUAGAACUUGUCUGUAACUUUAUUAAAGGAAAUUCCUUAAUUAGAAUCUAGAGAGUUAAGUCAUAGCAUCUUGUGACCUCAUGGUUUCAUUCAAUACAAUGUUGCAACUUAAGCAAAUAGCAGUUCUCUGAAAGUAAAAUAUCUACUUGGUCAGCUUGAUAUGUUUUGUGAGGCUGAUAGAUGCUCCAAAGAAGCAAAGAGCAGUUCUCUGAAAGUAAAGCUGAUUCAAGCUUUGACACUCUUUAACACAUACUUUUAAAUGCCAGUAUGCAAAAAAGCCUUUCUGAUCCAGACCACAUCUGCUUAAUACUCACAUGUAACUAACAGCAUAGUCCUUAGUGAUUUAGUGGGCGUUUGGACAUGAGAAUUGUAAAAUUCCAAAAUAGGGUGAAAACAUUUUUCAACUGCCAAUGGUAUUUGAAAUUUAGAAUUGUGUUUGGACAUGAAUAUACUUUUUGAGUUGGUUUUGAAGUUUUGUGAGUGAUUUGAGUGAAAAUUUUGAAAAACAGUUUUUUGGAGUUUUUCAAAUUUUCGAAAAUUUUCAAAAUGCAUCUUUAAGUGAAAUUUGAAAAUUUUAUGAACAAAUGUUGAUUUCGAAAAAAAUAAAUUUUUUUUGAAAAAAGGGAAAAAUUUCUUAUGUCCAAACAGGCUCUUAGAAUAGCGAUAUGAAUUGCUUAUUUGAGCCACUAAAGACGUUAAAAUAGGCUUGUCAAAGCUGGAUUUGUCAAUAGUACUGUAAAGCAACAUGAAGCUGAAAACACACACACACUUCAAAACCUUUUUUCUUGAUAAACACUCCGAUUUAUAAAACAAAAAAUAAAGUUAAAACAGAUGUCUUAACUUAAGCCUCAUCUCCAAUACAUGUGCUUUCAGAUUAAGAAGAUGCAUAUAGAAGCUACAGUUGUAUUCCACACUUAAAUCAGUGAAUUAGUUUGGAUUCAAUGACCAGAAAUUAAAUGUACAGAAUUCACGCAACUUAACAAUCUAGAUAAUAAAAAAGAGUGUAAUUAACCGAGUUCCAAUAAAUAAAUUAAAUUGUAUCCACGAUAAAGGGAAAGUUCAGGGGAGGGAGGGAGAUAGAGGGACAGAGAGAGGAACACUACAUCUUUGGAGGCAAAUAACACCUAGAAUCAAUUACAAACUAUACGUGAAUGCAGGUUAAUCUGACAUUACAAAGUUAUCGUAUGAGAAUAUCAGUGUACAUAGUACAACAACAAAUCCCACAAGUGGGGUGUGGGGAGGGUAGUGUGUACACAGACCUUAAGGUAGAGAGGUUGUUUCCGAUAGGCCCUCUAUAUCAAUGUACAUAGUACUUCAGCUUUAUCAAGCAAAAGAACAAGAGGACAUACAAAUUCGUCUACGAUGAAUCUUCCCAAGGGUAAAAAUCAGCAGUAAGGGGGUAAAUGUUUCUUAGAUUACCCUUUGCAGAAAAUUUAUGCAUCGCUAAAUCAUAGAGAUUUGUCUUGCCAAUGCCUCCAUUAAGUGGGAGAAAGAUAACGUAUUUGACACAACCAAAUUACAUAAUCGAUCAAAGCAACAAAACCUCUUACCAUCACGAGAGGGACAAAAGCUAUUUCAUUUAUAACAUAACCAAAAGCAUACUCGAUACAUCACUCAAAGAUCGGGAUGAUCUUAUUCUUUAAAUGAAUCUAUUACAAUUAUAUGACUGAAAAACUGCUUACUAACUAAUACUUGUAAAAACCAGAAUACAAAGUAUUGGGUUUGGAAUGAAUUGGUUACAUCUCCCUAAUGGAGACAAUACAGAUCAAAACAAUAUUGAAUACUAAAUCAAGGAGGCAUAGCCCUCAAACCCUUGAAUCAAUUACCUUAACUAAAAAUCUAUGGCAGUUAAACAAUACCAUUAGCUACAUUGGCCUUAA